rnacentral:rRNA from 1 species
UAAUACAGAGGGUGCAAGCGUUAAUCGGAAUUACUGGGCGUAAAGCGUGCGUAGGCGGUUUCGUAAGUCGGGUGUGAAAGCCCCGGGCUCAACCUGGGAAUUGCAUUCGAGACUGCGAAGCUGGAGUGCGGAAGAGGGAAGUGGAAUUUCCGGUGUAGCGGUGAAAUGCGUAGAUAUCGGAAGGAACAUCAGUGGCGAAAGCGACUUCCUGGUCCAGCACUGACGCUCAGGCACGAAAGCGUGGGGAGCAAACAGGAUUAGAUACCCUGGUAGUCCACGCCAUAAACGAUGAGAACUAGAUGUUGAGAGGGUAAGCCUCCCAGUGUCGAAGCUAACGCGAUAAGUUCUCCGCCUGGGGAGUACGGCCGCAAGGUUGAAACUUAAAUGAAUUGACGG